rnacentral:lncRNA from 1 species
UGGAUAUUGUUGCCAUCAAUGACCCCUUCAUUGACCUCAACUACAUGUUUACAUGUUCCAAUAUGAUUCCACCCAUGGCAAAUUCCAUGGCACCGUCAAGGCUGAGAACGGGAAGCUUGUCAUCAAUGGAAAUCCCAUCACCAUCUUCCAGGACGAGAUCCCUCCAAAAUCAAGUGGGGCGAUGCUGGCGCUGAGUACGUCGUGGAGUCCACUGGCGUCUUCACCACCAUGGAGAAGGCUGGGGUG